rnacentral:rRNA from 1 species
UACGUAGGGUGCAAGCGUUGUCCGGAAUCAUUGGGCGUAAAGAGCUCGUAGGCGGUUUGUCGCGUCUGCCGUGAAAGUCCAGGGCUCAACCCUGGGAUGCGGGUGGAUACUGCCGGACUAGAGUACGGAAGAGGCGAGUGGAAUUCCCGGUGUAGCGGUGAAAUGCGCAGAUAUCAGGAGGAACACCAAUUGCGAAGGCAGCUCGCUGGGACGUCACUGACGCUGAGACGCGAAAGCGUGGGGAGCAAACAGG